AGAAAGCUGCUAUCUGUUUUUGCUUAAUUCGGAGCUUAUCGGAGUUAGAGUGUUUGCCGGAGGAGAAAACGACGUCGUGUUUAGUUGACGGAGGAGUAGACGACGAAAGUUGGUUACCGGUUUGAAGGUCGCUUUCAGUUACAGAUUUGAUUGAAUUGACGAUUUUGUCCUUUUCGUGAUCUAAUAGCUUUUUAGAUGAUUCAUCGAAUCCUCGCUCUGGAAAAUGAUGCGGGAAAAUGUAAGUUGCUCUAUGAGGCAUUUUCAGUCACGAGGCUCUUGUGCUAAGCAGUCACGUGCAAAGAAAUAAACGGUGAACUGCUUGCUUUUCCGUGUUGGCCGUUACAGACACCGUUAAUCUUUCUUCUUCGUCUUUCUUUCGUCGGUGCAAAUUGUUGAUCUAAUUAUGAAUUGAUGAUGUAGUUGGAAAUUGCAUUCUGCUAUGUGUUUCUGAAGAAAUGAGUAACUUAGAAAACAAAAUGAUUCUGCACCUGGAAUGAAGUACGCGUGGAUGCAAUGUUCAUAUAGUAGGAUUUGGUUUUCUGUUAGAGGAAGUGUGAUGGUGAUGGAGAUGGGGUUGGUUGUGAGGUUGUGCAAUGCAAGCUGCUAAGUUGAGGUUGGAGUAUUGUGGAAAAGGCAAUAGGUGGUGAUGGAAAAUAAUAUACAGUCGGUAUGGUAAAGAGAACUGGUGUCACGUGCAAUCCCUUGCUAUUGGGGCAACACGUCACAUUCUUACAUUCCUAAUGGCGUACUGUCGUGAGCAUCCCAACGGUCCUUCUGCUCUUGCUGUCAAGGAAGCAACCUGGGGUCUUGCUUGCUAUGCUGCAAUUAGUCAGAUGGAUUACAUCAUGGGUCAAAAUCCAAUGAACAUGAGUUACAUAGUUGGAUAUGGGAAGAAGUUUCCAACUCAUAUUCGUCAGAGGUGCAUCAAUUCCAAAUAAUCACAAAAAUUACUCAUGCACUGGUCGUUGGAAGUGGCGCGACACCCCUAACAGAAAUCGGUUGGAUUCAAUUGGACUAGAGAACACCGAAGCUAACCGUCAAGCAUGGCGUAAAAUUAUAUAUGAAGAAAGUGUUAUGACUUGGUUAAAAUAUAAUUUUUAUGUGUAUGAUUUUAUAGUACUUGAAAUAUUAUG